rnacentral:rRNA from 1 species
UUCGCAAUGCCCGAAAGGGUGACGAAGCGACGCCGCGUGUGGGAAGAAGGCCUUCGGGUUGUAAACCACUGUCGGGAGUUAGGAAAUGUAAGGGUGUUAAUAGUAUCCUUACUUGACUAAGGCUCCGGAGGAAGCCACGGCUAACUCUGUGCCAGCAGCCGCGGUAAUACAGAGGCGGCAAGCGUUGUUCGGAAUUAUUGGGCGUAAAGAGCACGUAGGCGGCCUUGCAAGUCAGUUGUGAAAGCCUUCUGCUUAACGGAAGAACAGCAGCUGAUACUGCAAGGCUAGAGUGCGGAAGGGGAGAGUGGAACUUCUGGUGGAGCGGUGAAAUGCGUAGAUAUCAGAAGGAACGCCGGCGGCGAAAGCGAUUCUCUGGUCCGAAACUGACGCUGAGUGUGCGAAAGCUAGGGGAUCAAACGGGAUUAGAUACCCCGGUAGUCCUAGCCGUAAACGAUGGGCACUAAGUAGAGGGGUUUU